rnacentral:rRNA from 1 species
GGAAACAGGUUAAUAUUCCUGUACUUGGUGUUACUGCGAAGGGGGGACGGAGAAGGCUAUGUUGGCCGGGCGACGGUUGUCCCGGUUUAAGCGUGUAGGCUGGUUUUCCAGGCAAAUCCGGAAAACCAAGGCUGAGGCGUGAUGACGAGGCACUACGGUGCUGAAGCGACAAAUGCCCUGCUUCCAGGAAAAGCCUCUAAGCAUCAGGUAACAUCAAAUCGUACCCCAAACCGACACAGGUGGUCAGGUAGAGAAUACCAAGGCGCUUGAGAGAACUCGGGUGAAGGAACUAGGCAAAAUGGUGCCGUAACUUCGGGAGAAGGCACGCUGAUAUGUAGGUGAAGCGACUUGCUCGUGGAGCUGAAAUCAGUCGAAGAUACCAGCUGGCUGCAACUGUUUAUUAAAAACACAGCACUGUGCAAACACGAAAGUGGACGUAUACGGUGUGACGCCUGCCCGGUGCCGGGAAGGUUAAUUGAUGGGGUUAGCGGCAACGCGAAGCUCUUGAUCGAAGCCCCGGUAAACGGCGGCCGUAACUAUAACGGUCCUAAGGUAGCGAAAUUCCUUGUCGGGUAAGUUCCGACCUGCACGAAUGGCGUAAUGAUGGCCAGGCUGUCUCCACCCGAGACUCAGUGAAAUUGAACUCGCUGUGAAGAUGCAGUGUACCCGCGGCAAGACGGAAAGACCCCGUGAACCUUUACUAUAGCUUGACACUGAACAUUGAGCCUUGAUGUGUAGGAUAGGUGGGAGGCUUUGAAGUGUGGACGCCAGUCUGCAUGGAGCCGACCUUGAAAUACCACCCUUUAAUGUUUGAUGUUCUAACGUUGGCCCGUAAUCCGGGUUGCGGACAGUGUCUGGUGGGUAGUUUGACUGGGGCGGUCUCCUCCUAAAGAGUAACGGAGGAGCACGAAGGUUGGCUAAUCCUGGUCGGACAUCAGGAGGUUAGUGCAAUGGCAUAAGCCAGCUUGACUGCGAGCGUGACGGCGCGAGCAGGUGCGAAAGCAGGUCAUAGUGAUCCGGUGGUUCUGAAUGGAAGGGCCAUCGCUCAACGGAUAAAAGGUACUCCGGGGAUAACAGGCUGAUACCGCCCAAGAGUUCAUAUCGACGGCGGUGUUUGGCACCUCGAUGUCGGCUCAUCACAUCCUGGGGCUGAAGUAGGUCCCAAGGGUAUGGCUGUUCGCCAUUUAAAGUGGUACGCGAGCUGGGUUUAGAACGUCGUGAGACAGUUCGGUCCCUAUCUGCCGUGGGCGCUGGAGAACUGAGGGGGGCUGCUCCUAGUACGAGAGGACCGGAGUGGACGCAUCACUGGUGUUCGGGUUGUCAUGCCAAUGGCACUGCCCGGUAGCUAAAUGCGGAAGAGAUAAGUGCUGAAAGCAUCUAAGCACGAAACUUGCCCCGAGAUGAGUUCUCCCUGACUCCUUGAGGGUCCUGAAGGAACGUUGAAGACGACGACGUUGAUAGGCCGGGUGUGUAAGCGCAGCGAUGCGUUGAGCUAACCGGUACUAAUGAACCGUGAGGCUUAACCUU